GGGGCAGCUCCUUUGAUCCCUGUGCACAUGGUGCAGGGAGGAGAGAGGGUCCCUCUACCACCAGUGCAAUGCCUGUGCAAGGAGCUGGAGGCUGUCAGAAGAAAUGUGACCUGCCCUGUUUGUACGUCGCCGGACAGAGCUGGCUGCCCGCCCUCCACCUUGAUCUCAUGGCCAUUUCAAGCAGGGCUCAGUAAGCCUUCAAGCAGCAGGAACAGAAGCACCUGCCUCAAAUAGAAGAGCUGCCUGGUGAGGAGGCCACCAGCUUUCUAAAACCUCUCCUAUCACAGGAGAGACUCAGCUGUGAAGCUGCUGCCCCAGUUUUAUGAUUCAGGCAGAGCAGCUGUCUGAGAGAAGUUCAGGGAAGAAAAUACAGUUGCAUUACUGCUACUAAAAAAGAUGGGAUGAUAAAUCAAGUAUGUAUUCUGUCCUCAUUCCCUCUUACUAUUUCACUAAAAGAUCAGGCCCAUUGUUUAAAAAUUGACUGCCGGGUGCUCUACACAUCCCCUCUGUGCACGUGCAGGUGAUGUCUCCCUUGGGUGUACUUUCUUUAGAUGGAGCAGACUUGCUCGCCUUCCUUGGCCUUUCCCUGAAGGUCUCAUCUUCCACACCUCCCUCUGGCUUUUGUUCCCCUUUUUUGAACUCCCUCUGAAUCUUCUGCCCUGUUUGACAGUCUCUUUCUCCACAUCCGUUAACUUCAGUAUCUUCCUCUCCUUUGUCUCCUGAAACCUGUUAUAAUCACUUGGAACAUCACAAACCUUUUAUUUUUCUUGUUGAUGGCAUGCCUGACACCUUGUGGUACUUGCAGAAAUGUUUCCAGCAUAGCCCGAAGUCUUAAUGAUUGGUCUCUGCUCAAUGUUAUUUACUUUUGAGGCUUAAACAGAAGUACCAGCAGCUCAGGUAGGAGCUUGUACUCACUGAUCAUUUCCAGGGCUCCACAAGCUGCAGCUGGUGUCAGAUCAAUGGAUCUGGAUUGAUUUCAUUCAUGCUCUGGGAUUUGAAUCUAUAACGCCUAUUGGAGUCACAUUUUAAACCUUUAAAGCUCUAGAAAUGUGCUUCUUCAUCUAAUCAGUGCCAGUACUUGCAUGGCUUCUAUGCUGGACUUGCUCCCUAAUGCAACUGCUGGAUGCUUCAAGUCCCCCAGACACCUUACUAUUACAGCUGAAUGUAAAUGUGAAACUUGGUCCAGCUGCACCUCUGCUUUCUCAGGAGAGUAUUUCUUACGUCUGAUGCCAAGGCCAUGCUUUCACAUAGGGGCAGCAUUUGAAGCCUGGGCAAUGGGACUUGCUCUCCCUUCCAACUGUACCUCAUGCUUACAUCAGCUUAAAUCGACCGUGAAGCUACAGCAGGAGAGACAGGGAUACCAGCACCUCGUACAAGAAGAGACAGAUUCAGCCAUGCGGGCAAAAGCACAAAUGCUGUGUGUCUCUGUGGCUGGAGAGCAUCUCUCGGGGGGCUGUGCCCAUGACAGGCGGCCAGGAAACCUGGCUGACAGCAGCUCUGACCCCAUGGGUGGGGGACAGGAGUCCCCCAGGUGAUGCAGCCUCUCCCCUGGCUCUGCAAACAGAAAUGUGGUGCUACCAAGGGAGCAGAGAGCCCCAACUGGCUCCUAAUGGCAUCAGUAAUAGAUGCUGAGUGCUGCCUUUUUGCUUCAUUAGCCUGCAAGGUCUCCCUGUCUCAUUGCAAAGCAAAGCCAACCUCUCCUUACCAUGGUCGCUCUGAAUAACUGGAAUUAAUACAUGCAGUAAUCCACAGAAACUUCAUCUCCUCUGAUUUCUCCCCAAGAAUACAGCCCUUUGUGUAAUUGCAGGCAUGGACACAGCCUUAUAUACCCCACACGUACGUAUCUGUAUUGUGGAGAGGAAACGUUUUGGUGGACUUGCACUAACCUCAAAUGGCACUUGUGAACAGGAGGCUAUGUGGCAGCUGUAGGUCAGGCUGCAGCUGCCUGGGCUGUGUACCCAAACUGACCCCCAUUCACCCUGCUUUCUCAAAAUGAUGACUUCAAUUAUUCCCUCCUUUUUCAGGCCAUCACACUGAAAUGCUGCUGCAUGUGAAUGAUGUUACUUGUUUUCCUUGACUGUCUGAGGACACAGGUUUGGGGCAGCUGAGCCAGUGAAAACUCCUGCUCCUGGCUCAUAAGAACCCUGGUUUGGUCUCCAGCAUGUCCCAAACAAGGUGCCUGGUCCUCAGGUCUCAAAAAGAGAAGACUUAAUCUUUUAGUCAUAGCUUUAUUGAUCUGAUACAAAAAAUAAAGCAUUUAAUCAUGGGGAGAAGUAGAAAACAGCCUGGACAAGUGAAUAAAUGAAAAUGCUCUCCAAGACUUACCAAAUUGUUUUGGGAAUAAGACGUACCUAGGUGCUCUAAGAGAAAUGAUUGACCUCUCCAAUUUCCCAGGAUGCUGGAUAGCAGGUGUGCAACAGAAAUGCUAUGAAACUUCUAUUGAGAGCAGAGAAGGCAUCCUAUUAAAGAGAAAGUUCAUUCAGGCACCUACCUGUUCUCUGUCAUGGAGAACAGCAACUGUCUCGCAGUUGUUAGGAAACCCUAAUUUCCUAAUGGAAUUAGUUAAGAAAAUAUCCCCCUGGCAAUGGGGCAGUAGCCUGCAUUUAGUGGAAGCAGAGGGAGGGAGGGGGCUGCCUGCAGGGCAUCCUCACCCAUCCCUCCCCAUGCCAGAGCACCCAUCCUUAAAUUAAUCCCUCCUGACAGCCUCCAAGGUACUCCUGACCAUGCCAGGUUUCUUGGCAAAUGCCAUCCCUCUGUCCAGCUCCUCCCACGCUCACCCCUACUGACCAAGAGGAAAUGAGAGCUGUCACACUCCUAAGUUGUUGCUAUUUUUGUGAGGAUGAGCACCACCAGGAUGCCUGUGCGUGCUUUGCUAACAGUCUGGCUGCUUACAGCGUGGUGCAGGGCGAUGCUCAGCGCAAGGCAGGGGCUGUCUCAACAGCUACUGCUGAUGGCAGUGGUCUUGAGCUAGCCCUUGUGGGGGAAAGGAAAAACAAGACUCAUUAAGUGGCUUCAGCAGGGUACUUCUACAGAAAGGCUUCACCAAUCUUUAUGCAGUAAUGUAGUCGUGAGUAGCACAUGUGUUUUGUGUUUGUAAAUGGGAGUUUUGAAGAAGGCUACCAUGAGCAAAUAAUAAGUCUGAUAGUUUAAGAACAAAACCAAGCCUGUUCUCCUUAGGAAAAGAAGUCUGUGGUCAGUUUAGGGCUGCUGUGCUGAGGGGCUCCUCCAGCCCCUGGUCCCCCAUGGCACAAGAUACAGAUGAGGGACUUGGUUUCUUUACCAAAGGCACGCUGGAAAAAACACGGACAUGAUGUCUGCUGGAGCUGGCAGGGACAAUUAGACAACGGCACUGCUUCCCCUUCCAACGAUGGGUGAGUUACCUGCAGCGGUGCUGGCCCCAGCUGUGCUGAUGGGGAGAGGGGAAGGAGCAGGGAACAGCAGUGUGUGAGGGGUACUGUUCAGACACAGCUGCCCAAAUCCAUUUGUAAGGUGGCAGUUUAAAAAAAAAAAAUCCAAUAAGAUCACCACUUUUGUUAUGUGUAUCUCCUCUCAGGAAGGGAGUACUGCCCGCUCUGCUGGUGCGUGUCGAAUGGUGGUAACAAAGCUCCAUCCUGCUGCCGCAGGAACACAGCAAUCCUGACAAUGUGCUACAGGAGCAAUCACGGCACUGUUCCCUUAAUGCUGUUUACUGCAGUGCCUAACAAAUCGAAUUAGAUGCAAUCAGCACAGCCUGCCUGUUAGAUCUAAGCCAGACCUGGAACAAAGUUCCAAGGGGCUCCUCUUUAUCUUACUCCUUUCCAUGCACAGAAAUACUUCACUGAGCACCACAGUGCCAUGAACUCCUGCACCGGCCCAAAUGUCACGCAUGACCUCCAAUGGUGGAUUGGGUCCUGACACACACAAAAAAUUCCCUCUGGCUGAGAUACCUGCCCGUGCGAGGUACAGACCAGUAGAGUAAAUCCCCUCCAUCAGCUACUGUCCCACCACUGUGCUGCUUUCCGGUCACAGGUGAAGGUAUCUUCCUGGUAAGUAGCGUGCUACAGCCCUGCCCUGGGGCACGAGGUUAGCAGUAUUAUUCUGGGUGCCAUGGGAGCCCAUUCAGGUCCUUGCAGGAGAGUGUCCGAGCUCAGGACACCUCUAGGGAUUCACAGCAAUAGUCUCCCUAAGAAAAGUUAAAGCCUUGCCCAGCUUGUGUCCCUGAGUUUCUCCUGAUGAUUCCCAUUCAGAGAUGACAGGUCGCUGUUUAUUCACUCUCAUACACCUGGGCUCCAUCCUAACGUUUUGGCAGGUUGCCUCUUCCCGUACUUGAGAUCAGGGUAUACUCAGACAAGCUGAUGAACUGAAAAGCUGAAAGUCCAGAUCUAUGUAAAUAGCCCCAGAGAGCAGAGUUUUCCACUUACAGCAAGUAAAACCUGAGGCAGUUGGAAUAAAAUGAAAAAAGGACACCUUAAGUUCAAAGGUUAACAGUGUUCUGUAUCUUUCAUCCUAAAUAUGCGCAAUCCGAUCAAACCACCAAAUGAGCAAACAGAAGUCUGCUCAGUUCUGACUUACAUAGUGACCGAAGGCCAGUGAAAAAGUGAGAGAUGCUUUUUCUUCCCCCCUCAGUAAGUAGCUCUUCUUUUAGAUUGAAAACUAUGGAGGUAGGAAAAGUUUGUUUUGUCCUGUACCUUGAAAAGUUCCAAGGCAUCCCAAGUACAUCUGCAAAGCGACACCAACUGCACUUGCCAUCCCAGGUGAUCCCACAGACUGAAGGUGUGUAAUUUUGUCAUAAUUAAAAGCUUACAAUAACCUUACAAUUAAUAUAAAAAAUAAAGCGAGAUGGGUAUUUUUACUUAAAAAUGGAGCUUUCAACAAUUGUGUACCAUAGCUACCCAAGUUUCUUUUGCUCAUGGCAGCCUUCCAGCAGCCAGGUGCUGUGUCCCACCAAACCAAGGGCAUCUUCUGUGCUCAGCAGCAGCACCUGCUCAUAACCCUGGGAAGCUGCCCUGGGGAAGAAGCAUUUCUUACCCAAACCUUUCACUGGUUCAGCACGUGACUGGGUUGCAAAUACUCCCUCAGGAGGAGCUUGUUUUUCAUCGUCCGCCUCAGCCCAGCAACACGUUUGCUUUUUAACAGCCAGCAAUUAGUUCAUUCUCAAUGAGGAAGCGCACGCUGCAGUCAGUCCAGCAGUCUGUAGUUCUUAUGCAGGGGUUCCUGCCGGUUCCCCUGCUGUGCAGCCUUGCUACUUGGGGCCGGGCAGGCUAUUAGGGUUUGGAAAUUGGCUUCGCAUGCACUGAAUGCUCAUCUGCUGCAAGCCCAGUAUGCCCCCAGCCCUGAAAAAAAAAAGCACAUUUUCCCCCAAGGCAGUCAUGUGGCCAAAACGACUGGUUACAGUCAAAAGUGUUAAUAAAUUGCUUCAUUUUCAAGAACUUUUAGAAAGAAAUACAGAU